rnacentral:rRNA from 1 species
AUACGGAGGAUCCGAGCGUUAUCCGAAUUUAUUGGGUUUAAAGGGUGCGCAGGCGGCCAUUUAAGUCAGCGGUUAAAUCUUGGGGCUCAACCCCAUUCUGCCGUUGAUACUGGGUGGCUUGAUUGCGGUCGAGGUUGGCGGAAUUCGUUGUGUAGCGGUGAAAUGCAUAGAUAUGACGAAGAACACCGAUUGCGUAGGCAGCUGACCAGACCGCAAAUGACGCUCAUGCACGAAAGUGCGGGGAUCGAACAGGAUUAGAUACCCUGGUAGUCCGCACAGUAAACGAUGAAUACUUGUUUUCGGCGAUAUAAUGUCGGAGGCAAAGCGAAAGCGAUAAGUAUUCCACCUGGGGAGUACGCCGGCAACGGUGAAACUUAAAGGAAUUGACGGG